rnacentral:rRNA from 1 species
CCUACGGGAGGCAGCAGUGGGGAAUAUUGGACAAUGGGCGAAAGCCUGAUCCAGCAAUGCCGCGUGAGUGAUGAAGGCCUUAGGGUUGUAAAGCUCUUUUACCAGGGAUGAUAAUGACAGUACCUGGAGAAUAAGCUCCGGCUAACUCCGUGCCAGCAGCCGCGGUAAUACGGAGGGAGCUAGCGUUGUUCGGAAUUACUGGGCGUAAAGCGUGCGUAGGCGGUGAUUCAAGUCAGAGGUGAAAGCCUGGAGCUCAACUCCAGAACGGCCUUUGAAACUAGAUCGCUAGAAUUAUGGAGAGGUAAGUGGAAUUCCGAGUGUAGAGGUGAAAUUCGUAGAUAUUCGGAAGAACACCAGUGGCGAAGGCGACUUACUGGACAUAUAUUGACGCUGAGGUACGAAAGCGUGGGGAGCAAACAGGAUUAGAUACCCUGGUAGUCCACGCCGUAAACGAUGAUAACUAGCUGUUCGGGCUCUCAGAGCUUGAGUGGCGCAGCUACGCAUUAAGUUAUACCGCCGUGGGAGGUACGGUCGCGAGAGUAAACUACGAAGAAGUAGACGCGUGAGACGUGCGACGACGACGACGAGGGAGAGG